rnacentral:piRNA from 1 species
ACGGGAAACCUCACCCGGCCCGGACACGGACAGGAUUGA